CGGGGUGUGGCCCAAUGGUAGGGCACGUGGUUUGGGACCACGGGACUGCAGGUUCGAGUCCUGUCACUCCGA
rnacentral:tRNA from 1 species